AUUAAACGCUGGCGGCAUGCCUUACACAUGCAAGUCGAACGGCAGCACGGGGGCAACCCUGGUGGCGAGUGGCGGACGGGUGAGUAAAGCAUCGGAACGUAUCCUGGAGUGGGGGGAUAACGUAGCGAAAGUUACGCUAAUACCGCAUAUUCUGUGAGCAGGAAAGCAGGGGAUCGCAAGACCUUGCGCUCUGGGAGCGGCCGAUGUCGGAUUAGCUAGUUGGUGGGGUAAAGGCCUACCAAGGCGACGAUCCGUAGCGGGUCUGAGAGGAUGAUCCGCCACACUGGGACUGAGACACGGCCCAGACUCCUACGGGAGGCAGCAGUGGGGGAAUUUUUGGACAAUGGGCGGAAGCCUGAUCCAGCCAUGCCGCGUGAGUGAAGAAGGCCU
rnacentral:rRNA from 1 species